GCUUACGGCCAUACCACCCUGAACACGCCCGAUCUCGUCCGAUCUUGGAAGCUAAGCAGGGUCGGGCCUGGUUAGUACUUGGAUGGGAGACCGCCUGGGAAUACCAGGUGCUGUAAGGG
rnacentral:rRNA from 1 species